rnacentral:lncRNA from 1 species
ACUCUGUAUUCUUGCCAAAGACUUCCUUUAAACGAGAGCACUUUUACCCACUGCUCUUUUGUGAAUGAUCUGUUUUGUUGUUGUUUAUUGUUGAAUCUCUAUAUCAACAGGGAGAGUGUUGUCCAUUCUUAGACAGGAAUGAAAGAGGGGGAGGGGUGACAGGAGAACAUGGCGGCCAGUGAUGCCCUUAACAAGACCCCUUAGGAACAGCCCAGGCCCUCUGCUGGGAAACCCAUAUCCGGAGUCCAUGCCCUGCCCCUGCCCCCGGCUGUGUAUUUAUAGAUGGAAAUAUACUUUAUAUUUUGUAUCAUUGUGCCUAUAGCCUCUGCCACCUUGUAUAAACCCUGAUGUAUGCUAAGUGUUCUGGACAUGAAUGUAUGUACACUGAUGCUGUCCCCUCUGUACAGCUGCUUACUCUCACCAUCCAUGUAUGGCUUUAUAAAGGAUAAAGUUAAACAC